UACGAAGGGGGCUAGCGUUGUUCGGAGUUACUGGGCGUAAAGGGCGCGUAGGCGGCGCACCAAGUCAGGCGUGAAAGCCCUGGGCUCAACCCGGGAAUUGCGCUUGAGACUGGUGUGCUUGAGUACGGGAGAGGAUAGUGGAAUUCCCAGUGUAGAGGUGAAAUUCGUAGAUAUUGGGAAGAACACCGGUGGCGAAGGCGGCUAUCUGGACCGUAACUGACGCUGAGGCGCGAAAGCGUGGGGAGCAAAGCAGG
rnacentral:rRNA from 1 species